rnacentral:rRNA from 1 species
GACAGAGGGUGCAAACGUUGUUCGGAAUUACUGGGCGUAAAGCGCGUGUAGGCUGCUUCGCAAGUCGGAUGUGAAAGCCCUGGGCUCAACCUAGGAAGUGCAUUCGAAACUGCGAAGCUUGAGUCCUGGAGAGGAAGGCGGAAUUCUCGGUGUAGAGGUGAAAUUCGUAGAUAUUCGGAAGAACACCAGUGGCGAAGGCGACUUACUGGACACGUAUUGACGCUGAGGUGCGAAAGCGUGGGGAGCAAACAGG